UACGUAGGGUGCGAGCGUUAAUCGGAAUUACUGGGCGUAAAGCGUGCGCAGGCGGUUGUGCAAGACAGAUGUGAAAUCCCCGGGCUCAACCUGGGAAUUGCAUUUGUGACUGCACGGCUAGAGUGUGUCAGAGGGGGGGUAGAAUUCCACGUGUAGCAGUGAAAUGCGUAGAGAUGUGGAGGAAUACCGAUGGCGAAGGCAGCCCCCCUGGGAUAACACUGACGCUCAUGCACGAAAGCGUGGGGAGCAAACAGG
rnacentral:rRNA from 1 species